UGUAUUGUAUGUGAUAUUCGACGAGAGGGCGGCGAUAAUCUGAAAUAUGCUCAAUAAACGACUGGAAACUUUUGCCCGGUUUAUAUUUAUCCGAUAUAUGGGUGUGAACGAGAUACUGCGUGGUGAAGAAAAAAUCCACAAUCCGCCAUCCGCCAUCCGCCAUCUGCCAUCGUCGUGCGACACCGAGUCGCAAGGAACACUACUCCCGCAGCUGCUCCGGUGGCGUGAUCGACAUCGUCGUCUGGUCAAGUGCGGAAAAUACCACGUGCGGAAAACAAUUUUUCAUCGACGUCGACGUUCAUGAUUGACUUCUCUAUUCACGACGAUGUUAUAAUGGAACACAACUACUAACACCUAAAUUGGAGUAGCGGCCGCGUAAAACGCGUGUGAAAUAUGAGUUUGUGUUUGUCGCAGUCACGAAGUAUUUUUUUACGUCAGUUGUCAAGAAUCAAUUUUUUGGUCAACGAAUUUUGUAAGAUUUAGUUACAGUAAACGUAAGAUUUAGAACAAUGCAAAAAUAAAAUAUCAGCUAUAGGUUGGAGGUAUUUUUUUACGCUCAUUGUCAGGAAUCAAUUUUUUGGUCAUCAUAGUCAGUCGACGGAAAAUAUGUGUAACAAUGCGGAAAUAAAAUAUCAGCUAUAGGUUAGAGGUAUUUUUUUAUGCUUGUUGUCGAGAAUCAUUUUUUUGGUCAUCGAAUUCAAUAUACGUAAGAUAUAGAACAAUACGAAAAGAAAAUAUCAGCUAUUGGUUAGAGGUAAAUCAACCAUUUAAUUUUCCAAAUGCCUACUACAAAAUGCAAAUAUGUGUUAACAAACGCUCGCAUCGAAUAGUAAUAAUAGUAAUGAUAUAAUAACAUUGUCUAUUAUUAUCAAUAAUUAACUCUCCUGAAGACAUCUGUUUCAGAAUAAAUAAUUUUUACAUUGAUAAUAGUAGUGUAAAUAAGAGAACUUACGUUAAAUUAUUUAUAUAUUCAAAGCAAUGCAUAACAUAACUUAACAUAACAUUUAAACAUACAUACACGUGUGUGAAAAGUAUAGGUUGUGAAACCAUAAAAAAACUGCUUAGAUAGAUACUAAAUAAUAUAUCAGAGAUCACCAAUUAGUAUCUUUGGUGGGCUGCUUUAGAAGUUGGACUUUGGGAAAUUGUCUUGGGACCCUCGUGCAAUUUAACGUACGUGUUUGUCUAAAAAAAAGUAAAGGUAAAAUCAAAAAUCAAAUGAAAACUAAUGUAAACCAUAAAAAAAUAAUAAUGUAAAAACACAUUUCGUGUCUGGGCCAGAUAAAGUCAGCGAGCUAUUUGACAACCCCUAUUGUACGUUAUAAUUUAGUUUUAAUUAUUAUUAUUAUUUUUUUUUUUUUUGGUAUACCUGGUAUUACUAUUAAAUCUGUCUAGAUGAGUUUUGUUAUAUAAUUUCGUUGAUUUUGUUUGUUUCAUUAUUAAUUCUGCACAUUAAAGAGAAUAAAUGUUUGAAAAAUAAGUUCUGUAAAUAACUUUUUUGUGCGUGUUUAUAGAUAAUAUUAUUCCACACUUAUCAAAAUUAUAAAAUUAAGUAUUAGGUACUUAAUGUAAGUACCAAAUCGAUAUUUAAUUGAUGUUCGUGAUCGCUAGCUGGUGGUGAUAUAAUCUCCUCCCCACCUAAAAAAAUUUUUUAAAUAAUAUUUAUAUGUCCGCAAUAUCUGUGAAAAAUCCAGCACACAUCUCCCAUCUGUAUAACAAUUAUUUUUGGAAAAAUUUUAAUGUACGUGGUAAUAUAGGGGGGGGGGAUGUAUCAAUAUGUAAGAAGAUUGAUGAAUUAUGAUAAUUAUUGAAGAAUUAUAGAUAAUAGAUACCUGAUAUAAUAACAGAAUUCAAUUCAGUAAGUGCCACUGCUAUUGUUAAAGUACUGUGUAAAACUAACAAUACCGUAUAAAUAUUUUAAUUUAGAGAUGUGUGCAUUUUAGAAUUAAAAUUAGAAAACCACUUGAGCUUUUGGGUGUACCUACACCUUUUUCCAAUUCUAUUGUUAAAUAACACGCGCGAACUAUGUACAGCCGAAAAA